GAUCAGCAAUUCUUACUGAAUUCAUUCUGGUGCUCGCUCUUGGUGUGAUACUUCUCUUCUACAUAUGCAAAUGUGCAUUUGUUCUCUUUAAUGAAAAGAAGAGGCAGGUGCCUCGGGAUUUUGAGCUCUCCAAGGUCCAGAAUUCCCAAGAAGUAAGUUUAAAUGAGGAUUUAUCUGAUAAGAUGACUCGACUCAGAGGGUGCUGUUCAAAUUCCUUGUCUAAUCUCCAGCUCGCCAAAUUCCAUCCACGGUCAUGCCUACAGCUUGGAAUUGGAGAAUCUCCUAAAUCUGUCAACACUUCCUCAAAGUCUUCGAGUGAAAUGACUUCUACUUCUGGGCUAAGUCCUGUAGCUUCUGCAAAAGAUAAAGAAAUCUCAGCCUAACUGGAAGAAACUAGUAAAGUUUAUUAAGAUGAUGAAGCUCUUCUUUGAAAGACUACUUUGACUUCUAUGGACUUUAUAUUAUUAUUAGGGGUGUUCAUGGUUCGAUUUGGAUCGGUUUUUCCCUAAAAAGAAACCAA